rnacentral:rRNA from 1 species
UACGGGGGGGGCAAGCGUUGUUCGGAAUUACUGGGCGUAAAGGGCUCGUAGGCGGCCAACUAAGUCGGAUGUGAAAUCCCCAGGCUCAACUUGGGAACUGCAUCCGAUACUGGAUGGCUUGAAUUCGGGAGAGGGAUGCAGAAUUCCAGGUGUAGCGGUGAAAUGCGUAGAUAUCUGGAGGAAUACCGGUGGCGGAGGCGGCAUCCUGGACCGACAUUUGACGCUGAGGAGCGAAAGCUAGGGGAGCAAACGGG